GCCUGCCAGGCCCUUACUGACAUUGAAGCUCGAAGGUGCGGGUAUCAAACAGGAUUAGAUACCCUGGUAGUCCGCACGGUAAACGAUGGAUGCCCGCUGUCGGCGGUAUACGGUCGGCGGCCAAGCGAAAGCGUUAAGCAUCCCACCUGGGGAGUACGCCGGCAACGGUGAAACUCAAAGGAAUUGACGGGGGCCCGCACAAGCGGAGGAACAUGUGGUUUAAUUCGAUGAUACGCGAGGAACCUUACCCGGGCUUGAAUUGCAGAGGAACGUCGUAGAGAUGCGUCGGCCCUUCGGGGUCUCUGUGAAGGUGCUGCAUGGUUGUCGUCAGCUCGUGCCGUGAGGUGUCGGCUCAAGUGCCAUAACGAGCGCAACCCCUGCCGUCAGUUGCCAUCGGGUGAUGCCGGGCACUCUGUCGGGACUGCCGUCGUAAGGCGUGAGGAAGGUGGGGAUGACGUCAAAUCAGCACGGCCCUUACGUCCGGGGCUACACACGUGUUACAAUGGGGGGCACAGCGGGACGCUACCCGGCGACGGGGCGCGGAUCCAUCAAAUCCCCUCCCAGUUCGGACUGGAGUCUGCAACCCGACUCCACGAAGCU
rnacentral:rRNA from 1 species